rnacentral:rRNA from 1 species
CCAGACCACCAGUUAAGGUCCCCAAAUAUAUGUUAAGUGGAAAAGGAUGUGGGGUUGCUUAGACAACCAGGAUGUUGGCUUAGAAGCAGCCACCAUUGAAAGAGUGCGUAAUAGCUCACUGGUCGAGUGACCCCGCGCCGAAAAUGUACCGGGGCUAAACAUAUUACCGAAACUGUGGAUGAACCUCUUUAGAGGUUCGUGGUAGGAGAGCGUUCUAAGGGCGGUGAAGUCAGACCGGAAGGACUGGUGGAGCGCUUAGAAGUGAGAAUGCCGGUAUGAGUAGCGAAAGAAGGGUGAGAAUCCCUUCCACCGAAUAUCUAAGGUUUCCUGAGGAAGGCUCGUCCGCUCAGGGUUAGUCGGGACCUAAGCCGAGGCCGAUAGGCGUAGGCGAUGGACAACAGGUAGAGAUUCCUGUACCAGUGCUAAUUGUUUAACCGAUG